GGUUUUAGUUCCGUCGGCCGCGCCGAUACAGUUCCCUCUCUCGCUACUCCUGUCUCGCUCCACUGUUCUGGCAGAUCGUCCGGGGAAAACCACACUACCAGCGACGAAUCAUUUCGGUUUUCCGCCAGUUUGCUGUUGUCGACGUUGUCGUGAAGUGACGGAAAUAGUAAACGGACCUGCAAUGGAUCUUUAAAGAAACGGGAAAGCGCUCCAAACAGCUCUAGCAACCCGCGGAUUAAUAUUACUGUUAUCACCGCGCUUGUCUCGCGGUUGCAAGAAAGCUGUAGUUCAUUGUCCCUCCGGAACAAUGUUGGGCUGGGGCAAAUUUGCUGCAGUGUUGCGAAGUGCGGACGGACACCUUGUUCCCGUUUUGUUUCGAUUCCUUUCGUAUCGCACGGGAAGUAUUUCUGUAUAGAAUUAUCCGUGACCUUAUUUCCUUUACGUUUACAGAUGCCGCUAUGACGGUCCUUGCUUGCAACAAGGGCGUUUGAGAAACAAGGACCAAACACCGUCCAUCCUAGCCUGGUCUUAACCGCGAUCGGUUCAUGUAUGUCACCCUCGAUGCAUCGCGACGGCUUCCCUAGGUAAACAUUAUCCAUGCCGAUAAUGAUGCGCGGCACUAUUCCGCUGUAGGACGAGAUUUUAAGCCCUUUGAGGUGCGGAUACUCCUCGCUCAACUUUUGAACCGACAGUGUCUGCGCUGGAAGUUCGAGUUUUUUCAGGGUAUGCACCGUUGGCAGGUUGUAUAUCGAAGCACCUUUGCUUAAACCCGAUACUCGCAGAGAUAACUUUAAAGAGCUGACUUCGUCGCGGGUCGUGUUAUCAGUCCACUUCAAACUGACUGGGUGCAAUUUACCGUCCAUACCCAGCUCGUCUAUCAGCUCACGAUCAACAAAUGUCGCCGAUGAACCUUCAUCAAGGAACGCGAAGGUCUUUACCGUGCCUUUCUCGCCGUGCACUAUUAUGGGAACAUAUCGGAAAAGCGUGUUAGUGUUAGUGAUGAAGUGAGUGUUUACCGAGUGUUGCGUGCUAUUGCCCGAUCUUGGUGUUUCAUCUUCACAGUGAAGUAGUGUAUGAUGGUUUUCCUGGCAGCUCUCUCUUCGGCAACGUGUCCUCAC